UACGUAGGGGGCAAGCGUUGUCCGGAUUUAUUGGGCGUAAAGGGUACGCAGGCGGCCUUUUAAGUCAGAUGUGAAAUCUUACGGCUCAACCGUAAUUAGCAUUUGAAACUGGAAGGCUUGAGUUAAGGAGAGGAAAGUGGAAUUCCUAGUGUAGCGGUGAAAUGCGUAGAUAUUAGGAGGAAUAUCAGUGGCGAAGGCGACUUUCUGGACUUAUACUGACGCUGAGGUACGAAAGCGUGGGGAGCAAACAGG
rnacentral:rRNA from 1 species